rnacentral:rRNA from 1 species
AUUGAACGCUGGCGGCAGGCCUAACACAUGCAAGUCGAACGAGUGGCGGACGGGUGAGUAAUGUCUGGGAAACUGCCCGAUGGAGGGGGAUAACUACUGGAAACGGUAGCUAAUACCGCGUACCAUCGGAUGUGCCCAGAUGGGAUUAGCUUGUAGGUGAGGUAACGGCUCACCUAGGCGACGAGCCCUAGCUGGUCUGAGAGGAUGACCAGCCACACGUGAACUGAGACACGGUCCAGAGUCCUACGUGAGGCAGAGGUGUGGAAGAUUGCAACAUGGGCGAAAGCCUGAUGCAGCCAUGCCGCGUGUAUGAAGAAGGCCUUCGGUUUGUAAAGUACUUUCAGCGGGGAGGCGUUACUCGCAGAAGAAUCCCCGGCUCACUCCGGGCCAGCAGCAGCGGUAAUUC